GCUAAAGUAGCUCAGUAGGCAGAGCACAUCCUUGGUAAGGAUGAGGUCACGGGUUCGAUUCCCGUCUUUAGCUCCA
rnacentral:tRNA from 1 species